GACGAACGCUGGCGGCGUGCUUAACACAUGCAAGUCGAACGGAAAGGCCCUGCUUUUGUGGGGUGCUCGAGUGGCGAACGGGUGAGUAACACGUGAGUAACCUGCCCUUGACUUUGGGAUAACUUCAGGAAACUGGGGCUAAUACCGGAUAGGAGCUCCUGCUGCAUGGUGGGGGUUGGAAAGUUUCGGCGGUUGGGGAUGGACUCGCGGCUUAUCAGCUUGUUGGUGGGGUAGUGGCUUACCAAGGCUUUGACGGGUAGCCGGCCUGAGAGGGUGACCGGCCACAGUGGGACUGAGAUACGGCCCAGACUCCUACGGGAGGCAGGAGUGGGGAAUAUGGCACAAUGGGCGGAAGUCUGAUGCAGCAACGGCGAGUGCGGGAUGACGGACUUCGGGUUGUAAACCGCUUUCGCCUGUGACGAAGCGUGAGUGACGGUAAUGGGUAAAGAAGCACCGGCUAACUACGUG
rnacentral:rRNA from 1 species